GAGGGUGUAGCUUAGUGGUGCGAUGUGUGCUUAGCAUGCACGAGGUCCUGGGUUCAAUCCCCAGCACUGCCA
rnacentral:tRNA from 1 species